UUAAUGAGGGGCGUCAACUGCCCAGACGCCUGGGCCUCCUCCCCUGCCUUCAUUACCUCUUCAUCUAUCCCUUGAAUGUCUUGCAUCUGUUUGAAGCCUGCAGGUCUAGUUACACGUCUUGAUCCAACUGAUGAGGCAAUGAUUGCACGUAUUUCAUAAGCGAUCUUGGUUAACCUUCGUCGGCAGAAAUUAGGACUAAGGUCAAUGUCCAGGUCUGCCUCCGAGACCUCCUCUGCAAAGAAGUUCUGAGAGGGGUCAAGGUCGUCGAAGGGGAACUGGGUUGUGACAUUUUCCUCCAGGUGAUGGAAGCCAUCAGAGAUGCUGCCAUGAU